GGGCCCGGUGGAUCUCUUCUGACUGUCGCAUUCCAGAUUUUGGUGGAUUCUGCUCCAAACGCAAAGCUUUCUCUUGGAUCGGUCGCGACUGUCAACAACCUCAUUGCUUGCACCGUCGAAAGGAUUUAGGCUUCUGUGGCCGCCAACAGUGCUUGAAAUGUGAAGCCUACAGAUUGGGAGUGAAUCAUCUACUAGUGAGACUUAUUUAUCCUCCACAAAGAAACAAAAUUAGUGCAUCUCACAAUGGUGGCUCCUUUUCCAAGAAAAUUAUAAGCUUGUUCCAUUGGUGAGUUUGUGGAUGCAGAAUAAGGAAAAAGAGAUUAAAACUGAUGGAUGCCAUCCUUUGAAGAUCGGAAGAAGUCAAGAUCGCACCUUUAAAGCGCCUCUAUGGUGUCAAUUUUCGCACCUGAAGAAGCAACCUAAUCAUUUUACCAAAUUUGAAGGAAUUAAAGGUUCGGAAUUGACUUCUCAGGAUACCGUAAUUAGGAGAGAAGAAUAUAAAAAUACCUUAGUUAUGUAGUCUUUAUCAAAGCUUGAACUCUUGUUUAGUUUUGGUUUUAGGGUUAGGGUUAUGCAUGGGUAAGUGUUGGUACUUCUUAUGCGUCAUCUUGAUCCUUUCCCUUGUUUCCAUUUGUUGUGUUUUUAGCCUUAGUGGCUGGAAGAGCCUGAAGCAAACACCUUUUCCAUUACUUUCUAACAUCUUUUAAAUUAUUUCGAAUGUUUCGAAUAUUAAUUGGUGUUGCUUCCUGAUGUC